UAAAGCGGCGUACGGGUGAGUAACACGUGGGUAAUCUACCUUUUAGUGGGGAAUAACCCUGGGAAACCGGGGCUAAUACCGCAUAAUCCUGCACAGGGAAAGCAGCAAUGCGCUGAAAGAGGAGCCCGCGGCCGAUUAGCUAGUUGGUGAGGUAAUGGCUCACCAAGGCGGUGAUCGGUAGCCGGCCUGAGAGGGCACACGGCCACACCGGCACUGAAACACGGGCCAG
rnacentral:rRNA from 1 species